rnacentral:rRNA from 1 species
CCUACGGGAGGCAGCAGUGGGGAAUAUUGGACAAUGGGGGGAACCCUGAUCCAGCCAUGCCGCGUGUGUGAAGAAGGCCCUCGGGUUGUAAAGCACUUUCAGUGAGGAAGAACGCCUGGUGGUUAAUACCCAUCAGGAAAGACAUCACUCACAGAAGAAGCACCGGCUAACUCCGUGCCAGCAGCCGCGGUAAUACGGAGGGUGCGAGCGUUAAUCGGAAUUACUGGGCGUAAAGCGCGCGUAGGUGGCUUGAUAAGCCGGUUGUGAAAGCCCCGGGCUCAACCUGGGAACGGCAUCCGGAACUGUCAAGCUAGAGUGCAGGAGAGGAAGGUAGAAUUCCCGGUGUAGCGGUGAAAUGCGUAGAGAUCGGGAGGAAUACCAAUGGCGAAGGCGGCCUUCUGGACUGACACUGACACUGAGGUGCGAAAGCGUGGGUAGCAAACAGGAUUAGAUACCCCUGUAGUC